CACAUCAAGGGGUAUAUAUAGUCCACGGCCUUACCCUGGCCACCCAAUCGGCAGCCGGCACUAAUUUAUACCCUUUGGCGACAUAGUCUUGAGCCAAUCCCUCUUGUUGUUGUUGUUGAUUCUGCUGCUGCUGUUGUUGUUGUUGUUCACUCAUUCCUAGGAAGAGCGUAGCGUGGCACGUCUUGCCUUUAAAAACUAUACUUGUCAUCAAAAAUAUAAUGAUAAUGAUAAUAAUAAAAAUAAUGUUAGUUCAGAAAAUGUAUAUAAUUAGACACAACUAAAUAUAGAUGUUAAGAUGUAAGCAGAGAGAGAGAGAGAGGGGUAUAUAUCUCCGCAGCAUCUCACUUGGUUAUCCGUGCAACAGUUUAGUCCCAGCAGCCGUGCAUGCGUCCAACCUAACCACACAGGACGAGAAGAAAGUAGCCGGAGGAAUCGCAAGGAAAGAGACCAGAAGGAUGAGGGAGAUGCGUGAAAUCGUAACCAGAAAGAAAAGUGAAGGGAACGUAACAGAAAGAGGGAGGGAGGAAGUGUAUGAAGGGAGGAAAGAGACAGAGCGAGAGAGAGAAGCGAGAGGGAUAGCUGGCAACGGGAAAAAGAGGAAAAGGGCGGCCAGAGGAAGACGUAACGGGAAGGAGGGAAAGAGGGAGUUUAUGUAAAAGGGAAGAGAGAAAAGAGACAGCGAGAGAGGGAGAGGAAAGAAAGGGACAGAUGGCAACAGAAAGAGGGGAAUGAGGAAAUGCGUGAGAUAUAUAGGGAAGGGAGGAAAGAGAGAGAGAGAGAGAGAGCGACAGAGGAAGAGGAACAAGGUUGGUAUUGUCAGAUUCUCCCAACCCUCGCACCAACUAUUUCCAAAGGCCAAAAAGGAGGUUAAUCGAGUUCUAAUGAGUGUUCUUUAAGGUUCACGGUACAGAAGGCGGCUCAGACUACCACCAGGGUCAUAAAAGUACCCCUGGAAAUGCCCUGAACUCCCACGAAAGACUAGUAAAUUACGUGUUCUUGGGCAUAGAAAUGUUUAAAAAUAUGGCC